rnacentral:lncRNA from 1 species
AGGCCCCUUGCACCACUGUACGUGAACCCUGCCAGGCGCUGGGGCUCCCUGCUGGGGAGGUCUCAGACCCAGACCAAAAGAGGACCACUACCGGGGUUGGAGGGUGUCACUGAGGAUGCACCCCCAAAACGGGUCUGGAAGGAAGGCUGGGAUGUAAGUAAAAGGAAGUGGGGCCAUGGAAGCAGCGUGGACAAGGCAAGGAGGCUGAAAGUGAAGAGAGCCGCUGCCCAGAAAGGGAAGGUGGGGCCCGGGUUGGACACUGCCCAGGUCCUGGGUUCCUCCGUUGCCCUCUGCCCGUGGUCAAAGUUCAGUCCCUCCAAAGGGCUCUUCUGGGGGCUUUGGUCAGGCCCUCCGGAGCGCUCGGGGCCGCCAAGGGCACACGAGCCUGCCCGGCCACAAGCGGGCCUGUGCCUGGCGGCGGGGUCCGGAGUGCGCCCGGGGCUGGCGCAGCCCACACGCGUGCACACGGCGGGGUCCGCGCGGGCCGGAAGCCACAGGGCCAGAGCGGGGCGCCGGGAAAGGCAGAGGGGAGCGGGAACAAAGGACGCAACAGAGCGGGGGCGGCCCGGCCAGGCAGUGAUAGGCGGCCGGGGUCGGGGGCAGCGUCCGGGCCGGGCCGUGAUUGGGCCGCAGCCUCUCCGGGGGCCCCCGGCGCCCGCCCCGCCCCUCUCGGCCGAAACCCGAGCCGCCAUCUGCGCCCGGGCGGGGCGCGGGCCCGGAGUCGGGUUCCCGCCCAGCCCCAGCCGCCAGCCCUCGUCGCGGGCCGGCAACCUGUGCACCGGCCUCCCCCCGCUGCCACCCCCGGCCCAGCUGCGCUCAGGGUCCCCGGGGUCCAAGCAAGGGGUUGGGGCACCGCCGUGGGGGAAAAGCCCGAUGGGCACUGGAGGGCCAGCGGGCCCGAGGGGACAGGGGACAGGGCCCAGAAAGCAGCUCCGUCCUGGGCCUGGCCGUGGCUGGUGGCUGGACUGGGAGAGCGCUCAGAGAACAGGGGACAUUGGAGAGGGCGGGUUGGGGUUAAGACCAGUUAGUGGAGGAGGCCGCAGGCUGAAGGACGGCUCAGGGAGGGGUGAUUCGAUGGCCGGAACCCGGCAGCUCCAGGAGUCACUGGGACCGAAGGCGGCGCCAGAAUGCCAAGCGGGGUUCCGGCAGGGUUUGGAGCAGGAGAAGUUGUUUGCAGUUCACUACCAGCCAGGCCACUGCUGGGUGGUUAAAGGCGGGAUGAGGGGCCUACUCCACUCCCUGCGUCUUUCCCAGCGGCCUGGGAGGUGA